rnacentral:rRNA from 1 species
CCUACGGGAGGCAGCAGUGAGGAAUAUUGGUCAAUGGACGAGAGUCUGAACCAGCCAAGUAGCGUGAAGGAUGACUGCCCUAUGGGUUGUAAACUUCUUUUAUAUGGGAAUAAAACGUUCCACGUGUGGGAUUUUGUAUGUACCAUAUGAAUAAGGAUCGGCUAACUCCGUGCCAGCAGCCGCGGUAAUACGGAGGAUCCGAGCGUUAUCCGGAUUUAUUGGGUUUAAAGGGAGCGUAGGUGGAUUGUUAAGUCAGUUGUGAAAGUUUGCGGCUCAACCGUAAAAUUGCAGUUGAAACUGGCAGUCUUGAGUACAGUAGAGGUGGGCGGAAUUCGUCGUGUAGCGGUGAAAUGCUUAGAUAUCACGAAGAACUCCGAUUGCGAAGGCAGUUCACUGGACUGCAACUGACACUGAGGCUCGAAAGUGUGGGUAUCAAACAGGAUUAGAUACCCCUGUAGUC